UACAGAGGUCUCAAGCGUUGUUCGGAUUCAUUGGGCGUAAAGGGUGCGUAGGCGGCGCGGUAAGUCGGGUGUGAAAUCUCGGAGCUUAACUCCGAAACUGCAUUCGAUACUGCCGUGCUUGAGGACUGGAGAGGAGACUGGAAUUUACGGUGUAGCGGUGAAAUGCGUAGAUAUCGUAAGGAAGACCAGUGGCGAAUGGCGGGUCGUCUGGAGCAGUUCCUGACGCUGAGGCACGAAGGUCAGGGGAGCAAACGGG
rnacentral:rRNA from 1 species